GUGCUUGCUUCCGUAGCACAUAGACUAAAAUUGGAACUAUACAGAGAAGGUUAACAUGGCCCCUGCGCAAGGAUGACAUACAGAUUCAUGAAGUGUUCCAUAAUUUU